rnacentral:rRNA from 1 species
AGUGAACGCUGGCGGUAGGCCUAACACAUGCAAGUCGAACGGCAGCACAGGAGAGCUUGCUCUCUGGGUGGCGAGUGGCGGACGGGUGAGGAAUGCAUCGGAAUCUACUCUGUCGUGGGGGAUAACGUAGGGAAACUUACGCUAAUACCGCAUACGACCUACGGGUGAAAGCAGGGGACCUUCGGGCCUUGCGCGAUUGAAUGAGCCGAUGUCGGAUUAGCUGGUUGGCGGGGUAAAGGCCCACCAAGGCGACGAUCCCGAGCUGUGCUGCAUGGAGGAUCGGCAAAGCUGGAGCUGGGAAACGGUCCAGACUCCUACGGGAGACAGCAGUGGGGAAUAUUGGGCAAUGGGCGCAAGCCUGAUCCAGACAUACCGCGUGGGUGAAGAAGGCCUUCGGGUUGUAAAGCCCUUUUGUCGGGAAGGAAAUCCAGCUGGCUAAUACCCGGUUGGGAUGACGGUACCCAAAGAAUAAGCACCGGCUAACUUCGUGCCAGCCGCCGCCGUAA